rnacentral:rRNA from 1 species
GAUGAACGCUGGCGGCGUGCCUAAUACAUGCAAGUCGAGCGAACGGACGAGAAGCUUGCUUUUCUGAUGUUAGCGGCGGACGGGUGAGUAACACGUGGAUAACCUACCUAUAAGACUGGGAUAACUUCGGGAAACCGGAGCUAAUACCGGAUAAUAUUUUGAACCGCAUGGUUCAAAAGUGAAAGACGGUCUUGCUGUCACUUAUAGAUGGAUCCGCGCUGCAUUAGCUAGUUGGUAAGGUAACGGCUUACCAAGGCAACGAUGCAUAGCCGACCUGAGAGGGUGAUCGGCCACACGGGAACUGAGACACGGUCCAUGCUCCUACGGGAGGCAGCAGUAGGGAAUCUUCCGCAAUGGGCGAAAGCCUGACGGAGCAACGCCGCGUGAGUGAUGAAGGUCUUCGGAUCGUAAAACUCUGUUAUUAGGGAAGAACAUAUGUGUAAGUAACUGUGCACAUCUUGACGGUACCUAAUCAGAAAGCCACGGCUAACUACGUG